rnacentral:rRNA from 1 species
CCUACGGGAGGCAGCAGUGAGGGAUAUUGCGCAAUGGGGGAAACCCUGACGCAGCAACGCCGUGUGGGCGAAGAAGGUCUUCGGAUCGUAAAGCCCUUUUCUUCCGGACGAGGAAGGACGGUACGGGAGGAAUAAGUGUCGGCUAACUACGUGCCAGCAGGCGCGGUAAU